rnacentral:tRNA from 1 species
GUCUCUGUGGCGCAAUUGGUUAGCGUGUUCCGCUGUUAACUGGAAGGUUGGUGGUUCAAGUCCACCCAGGGGCG